GUACACGUGGCUGGCAAAGAGAAGAGAGCAUGAAGCUGCGAUUUUGAACAUGCCUAGUCCCAGAGAUGCAUGCGGGGAGAACUCCAUGUGAAGGUAAAGGCAGAGAUGCUUCAUUAAGCCAAGGAAUGCCAAAGGUGGCCAGCAAACCACCAGAAACCAGACAAGAUGCAUGGAACAGAUUGUGUCUCGUAGCUUUCAGAAGGAACCAACCCUGCCAUCAUGCAUUGAUUUUGGACUUCUGGCUUCCAGAACUGUGUGGGUUUGUCAUCCAGCGAGGAGAUAAGCAGAAAGUGCUGGGCCACUCCACUGGAGAAAUUGGAGACCUUUCUUCUGGCUGUGUCUAGGGAGGCAUGAGAGAGUGAGAGAAAACUCUGAGGAAUUGGAAAUGGAAGAAAAUAAUUCUAAAAUUUGUAUGGAACCACAAAGACUGCUAAUAGCCAAAGCUAGUUUGAACAAGAAGAACAAAGCUGGAGGCCUCACACCUUCUGAUUUCAAAAUAUAUUACAAAGCUACAGUACUAGCAUAAAAACAGAUGCAUAAACCAAUGGGUAGAAUAGAUAGCCCAG
rnacentral:lncRNA from 1 species